GGUCAGGGAGGAAAGAAACAGACAAAGAAAGGGAAGAGAAUAAACAAGAACAAAUAUAUGUCAGAGGCAGUCGUCAAGAUGUGUCCUUAAUAAACAUCCUUCUAAUGCAACGGUGCCAUCCCGCUAAUGGUGCCUCUGUCACCUCUCUGUGGGGCGCUGAUGAGGCUUUCAUGGGGACGCGUCUGGCCAGGGCUGCCUGGAUGAUGGGCCUGGACUGAAAGGAUGGGCAGAGUUUGCGGAUGAAGCGACGCUAAUGAACUUUUCUGGGAAAGGAGUGGACGUGGAGGCGGGCCGAGUCAGCCAUGCGUUAGAGCCUUGAGCGGCGUCCGCAAACACACAUCGCUGUUUGAGAUGCCGCUCCUCAUUUGGAAAUAUGAAGUCUUAAUCAUCCCAGCGGGAGUCCAGCCGGCUGCUGUCCCAUGAUUCCAUUUGUGUGGAUCGCUGGCGCAUUUAAGUGUCAGCCAUGAUGGCUUGCCACGCCUACCAAGACACCCACUGCAAGGAGGAAAGGGGCUCGUCAGUCUCUCUCUUAUAACAAUGCAGAACACCGUGAUGAGAAGUGAGAAUGAGCAGAACCCUGACUAUUGACUCUAUGGGCUAAGCGCUAAACACACUAAAGAUAUAGUAGAGAUCAAAUAUACUGCUUCAAGAUGUGCAAUACAUCGUUUACAGGACAUCACUCUAUACUUGUCUGGGGAAUUGAGACUUUGGCCUUUUUGGGUCUCCACCAUCACAUUCUGUCUGUCU